ACAGGACAUCCAAAUGCAUGUAGGUAGGAAUAAUCAGCUGGCUUUCUAGUCCACAUCUUCAUCGCCGUCUUCAACCCAAUAGCUGUAGAUGGCGACCGAUUUACUAUAUAACAAGCAGUUUUGGCUGCUUCUGCCCAAAAUGAAUUGGGUAGACUAGUAGUCUUAGUUUUCACAUCUAACUGCUCUAGAUGUAAGUCAAAUGUAGCACACAUUGCCAAGACUACUCUGACUGUUGUGAGUCAAACUACCAGAGAAAAUAUCUUGUUAAAGUCAAUAUCUUCUUUCUAAGCAUAUCCUUUCACCACCAAUCUCGCACGAUACCGCUCCACUUGGUCAUUGCCAUCACGUUUGAUCUUGUAGACCCAUUUGUUUCCAAUGACUUUUCUUCCGUGUGAUAGUGGUACAAGUUCCUAUGUCUUGUUCUUGUGUAGAGCUUCAAUUUCUUCCUGCAUUGCUGUCAUCCACAAAGCAACAUCUGAGCUAUUUAAAGCUUCAUGGAAAGUUGAAGGCUCUUCAUCCUCUGUUAGAAGACAGUAUGCAACAUUAAUCUCUGUGACAUACUCCGAGUGCCACGCCGGCAAUCGUCUCUCACGAGUUGACGGACGAACUUCUGGAGCCUCAGACUCAACUGGUUCUUGUUCCUCCCCACGUGGUAGUGGUACAAGUUCUCAUGUCUUAUUCUUGUGUAGAGCUUCAAUUUCUUCCUAUAUUGCUGUCAUCCACAAAGUAACAUCUGAGCUUUCUAAAGCUUCAUGGAAAGUUGAUGGCUCUCCAUCCUCUGUUAGAAGACAGUACGCAACAUUGAUCUUUGUGACAUACUCCGAGUGCCACGCCGGUGGUCGUCUCUCACGAGUUGACCGACGAAAUUCUAGAGUCUCGGUCUCGAUUGGUUCUUGUUCCUCGUGCUCUGGUGCUGCUUCAGAAGAAUCUGAAUCUUCUAGAUUAUUUUCCACAUAUACUGGUACAAUCUCUGACUUUUCUUUUACAGUGCUAUCAUCCCCAUCUUUCCUUUGCAGUUGAUCUUCUACAAAAAUAACAUCUCUGCUGAUGACGAUCUUGUGGGCAGUGGGGUCCCACAGACGAUACCCCUUUACUCCAUCAGCAUACCCUAAGAAGAUACAUCUUCUAGAUUUUGGAUCCAGCUUUGUUCUUUCUUGGGCAUUGUACAUCACGUACACAGGACAUCCAAAUGCAUGUAGGUAGGAAUAAUCAGCUGGCUUUCCAGUCCACAUCUCCAUCGCCGUCUUCAACCCAAUUGCUGUAGAUGGCGACCGAUUUACUAUAUAACAGGCAGUUUUGGCUGCUUCUGCCCAGAAUGAAUUGGGUAGACCAGCAGUCUUCAACAUAGCUCUUAUUCUUUCUGUAAGAGUUCUGUUCAUCCGCUCCGCCACUCCAUUUUGUUGAGGAGUGUAUGCCACCGUGAACUGCCUCUGAAUACCUUCUUGCUUACAGAAAGCAAGAAACUCGCCGUCUAUAUAUUCUCCACCAUUAUCUGUCCUCAAGCACUUGAUCUUUUUACCAGAUUCAAGUUCCACCCGCGCUUUGUAUUCUUUAAACACAGGAAAUACAUCUGACUUUUUCUUAAUUGGAUACACCCAACAUCUUCUGGAAUAAUCAUCAAUGAAAGUCACCAUGUACUUUGCACCUCCCAUGGAUAUAUCCGGUGAUUCUCAAACAUCAGAAUGAAUCAAGUCUAGAAUGCAUUUACUUCUAACAAUAGAUCUACUGAAUUUUAAUCUAUGCUGCUUACUUGUAAC
rnacentral:lncRNA from 1 species